AACCCUAGUUAAUAAAACACGGCGUAAAGCGUGAUUAAGGAAUAACCCCAAAUAAGAUUAAGCUCUGACUAAGCUGUAAAAAGCCUUAGUUAAAAUAAAAAUUUAUAAACGAAAGUAAUCUUACAACCCCUGAAUUCACGAUAGCUAAGGCCCAAACUGGGAUUAGAUACCCCACUAUGCUUAGCCCUAAACAUAAAUACUCAAAUAACAAGAGUAUUCGCCAGAGAACUACUAGCCACUGCUUAAAACUCAAAGGACUUGGCGGUGCUUUAUACCCCUCUAGAGGAGCCUGUUCUGUAAUCGAUAAACCCCGUUAAACCUCACCACUCUUUGCAAUGU
rnacentral:rRNA from 1 species